rnacentral:lncRNA from 1 species
CUUGCAUCUAGUUUGCAUUUAGCUUUUUUUUUUUUUCUUAAAUUUACCUUCUGUUCCUUGCACACAUCCUAACUGGUAGCUGGCAAUUGGAGAGGAGGCCCAUAAAUGGCAGGGGUGGGAAGUCAGCCUUAGAAAUCAAGGAAAACUUCAUGUCCCUUGGCAGGAUUCAGAACUACAUUCCACUAGGCAUUUCUAGAAGCUCUGCAAACCCUACCUUCCUACCACAGGACAAAAGAAGUCAUUGGUUUACAAAAUAAAGCCAGCACAAGAUGUAAACGUGUUCCCAAGGGCCACCGCUGGAUCCAAAGUGAAUGAGAUUUGAGUGAGACACGUGAAUGGAUGUUAGAAACUGCGGAGUUCAUACAGUGUGACUGUCUCAUAGAUCUCUAAUGUUGAGAGCCCAACCAAAAGGAACACUGUGCUCCGACGGUUGAGGUCACUCAUUUCCACGAGAAGAUGGAAAUAAAACACCAACCUCUGAACGAGACAGCAAGUUGUAUAAACCUUGAGAAGUUAUUAUUACCUAGCUAACACUACAGUUAGCUGCAAGAAAAAUUUACCAAAACCAAACAUUCUACAAAUGUGACAUUGGAAGUUCCAGACUUAUAGCUGAUGAAGAGUCUUCUGUUUCAAACUGAUAGGACCAUUCCCGG